rnacentral:rRNA from 1 species
CCCGCCGGCGACCGGCGCACGGGUGAGUAACACGUAUGAAACCUGCCCGUAGCAGGGGGAUAAGCGGAAGAAAUUCCGUCUAAUACCGCGUAACAACCCAUGGAGGCAUCUCUGUGGGUUUAAAGGAAGCGAUUCCGGCUACGGAUGGUCAUGCGUCGCAUUAGGUUGUUGGCGGGGUAACGGCCCACCAAGGCGACGAUGCGUAGGGGUUCUGAGAGGAAGGUCCCCCACACUGGUACUGAGACACGGACCAGACUCCUACGGAAGGCAGCAG